rnacentral:lncRNA from 1 species
UAUCUACCUACUUUCCUAAUUCAUUUCUUCAACAUUACAAGAUGCAUGUUUGUUUUUAAAAUAGUGCCCAUAUUAUUUUUCCAACUUGCCAAAAAAAAAAAAAAACUAUAUUCUUCAAUGUUGACCUAUAUCUCAUCCCACGGCCAACACCCUUUUCUGCAUCAAAUUCAUAAACAUAUAUUUUCUCCUUCUUUAGCCCAACACCGUGCAUUGACUAUUCUUCUAGAUAUUUCCUUGUAUACUUUUUGAGUUUUCUUGUGAAGAAGAAACAACAAUUCUUCGGGAAUAAAUAUGGUUGACAAUAGAAAAAAGUAUUUAUGGGGAAUGGUUUUAGAGUUUAUAAAGUGGAUCGGCAAAGAAACUAGGUUGAAAAAGUUGUAUAGGUAAAAAGUGAACCUACCAAAUGGACAAAUUAAAUAUUUACACAUGGCAGACUGCCAAAUUGCAUAUAUGAAAACUAUCAAUGGAUUGGAGGGCUGUCUGAAGAAUUAAUUCAAGGUCAAAUGAGUCAAAAUUAUUGAUAUCAAUUCCAACUGAGGAGUCAACAAGAGAAGUUUUACCGUAAAGUCUCGUAUGUACGGAUAGAAACAAAGAAAUGGUCAAUCCUAAAUAAGAAGAGAUUCGACAUUAGUUACAAAGAUGGCUACAAAACACACCUCCAAAAGAGAAGUAAAACAAUCGUUACAAUAGUAACUCAAAGUAAGAGUCGGGAUCGAUCUACAAAGAGUUUAUAUAGUUAUUAAGAUAGAUGCCUAAGAACGAGACUUAUCAUAUCUUUAAUUAGCUUUCAACCAAAAGUAUGAGUUAAUUAAUCCAUGGAUUUCAUUAACUAUUAUCGUAAGAGGCAAUUCAACAAACACGUAACAAGCGAGAAUUAACUAAGAGAAUGACAAACCUAGAGUUUUAUUCUUUACCUAGGUGUUUCACUAGAUGGAUAUUAUCUACUGAGCUUGAUUGGGUGAUUGGAAAUAUUAUGAUACACACUCUAAUUUACUCUCUUGAUGCUUCUCAAUUAUUAAGUGGACUAAUUAAAUGCUCUCUCGAGUCAAUAGAAUUGCAUUAAGCUUAGGUGUUGUUGUAUCCUAGUCAAGAGAUCCCUAUCUCUAACUCACUCUCUUUAAUUAGAUCUAAUCAAACUCUCAAUUAAUCUAAUUCUUUGUUAGCAAAAUUGCUAAAUUUCAACUCCUCUUUCUCAAGUAUGAGUCAAAUCACAAGGGAAUGAAUCAAUAUUUGCAACCACUAGUUCACAUUAUAAAAAUGGUUAAAUAAUAACUAAUCCAAUCUCAAACAAGCUCAAUAUUAAAUGCCCAUAAAGUUUCACACAAUAGAGUGCAAGUUCAAUGCCGAGUUGAUGGAACCGGGCAUGCACAUGAGGCUUGGAUUGCAGGUCAUCCCCAAGAGAGGCAGUUUCAAGUACCUUGGGUCGGUUAUCCAGGAGAACUGGGAGAUCGACGAGGAGAUCACACAUCGUAUAUGAGUGGGAUAGAUGAAAUGGAGGUCAGCAUCCGGAGUCUUAUGUAACAAGAAAGUGCCAUCGAUACUCAAAGGUAAGUUUUAUAGAGUAGUGGUUAGACCAGCCAUGUUGUAUAGGGUAGAGUGUUGGCCAGUUAAGAACUUACAUAUAUAGAAGAUGAGAGUAACAGAAAUGAGGAUAUUGAGGUGGACGUGUGGGCACACUAGGACUGAUAAGAUUAGUAAUGAAGAUAUUCAGGAGAAGGUGGGCGUGACUCCUAUAGAUGAUAAGAUGCAGAAAGCGAGGCUCAGAUGGUUCGGGCAUAUACGGAGAAGAAGCCCUGAUACCUGGUAAGAAGGUGUGAGCGGUUGGCUUUGGCGAGUACGAGAAGAGGUAAAGGGCGACCUAAGAAGUACUGGGGAGAUGCGAUCAGAAAGGACAUGGCGAAGUUUCAGAUUUUCGAGGACAUGACCCUUGAUAGGAAGGUGUGGAAGUCGAGCAUUAGGAUUGUAGGUUAGGAGGAGGUAGUUGAGCAUUUUUCUUCUUCGUACCGGAUGUGGUUAGUCUGAUAGGGUUUGUCUUAGACUGCUAGAGGUUAAUGUUGCGUUCACUCUAUUCGUCCAUUUUUUAUGGCACCGGGCCUUAUUUAUUGGUUAUUAUUAUUGCGUCUCAUCUAUUUUCUGGUUCUUAUGAUGCUGUUAUUAUUUCUGUGAUUUCUGUCGAUGGUACUAAUAUAUUGUAUCUUUUUGUCUUGUUCGUUUUCUUGAGCUGAGGGUCUAUUGGAAACAGCCUCUCUACUCUAUCGAGAUAGGGAUAAAGUAUGCGUACACAAUAUCCUCCCCAGACCUCUCACAUGUGGGAUUUUACUGGGUUGUUAUUGUAGUUAUUGUUGUUGAGUAACUACUAAGAAGGUGCUAAGAGAGGGUGGAGUUAUUGUCACUGGUUAAAGGCAUAGGAUCUGUUGGCAGAGGGGUAAAAAGGGGAAAGUAGUGAAUUAAGGGAAAACCCAAGACUAAACUCUAUAUAAAGUCUGCAUUUCCUUUUUAAGAGGCAGUUUAAAGAUUAACUUGGAGAGAUUUUAGAGACGAUAAAAAUACUUUUUUUUUCUCUGAGAAAGAGUUAUAGAAAUCAUUAAUCUAAACACAUUUCUUUCCUGAAGAUUUCUGAAAUUCCAAUAAAAGCUAGUGAUAGAUGGUGAUUGUUUGAGUAUGAGUCAAUGAUUUUACUGAUUAUUCUGGAUUUUUUUUUAUUGAUUUCUCGGUAUUUCAAGUUGGAGAUUGCUGUUGUUUCUUAAGUUGUUCAGCCUCAUUUCUUUGCUUUCUUAUUCGAUUAUUGUUCUGCUAUAAUCUGCAUUCAAUGUACUAUUUGUAUCACCAUGUAAUUUUUUAGAGUACCUAUAAAUAUAGUUGUGUGAAAUUAUCAGUAUUAGUUAUAUCCAUUGUCACACCUCCUUUUUCCCGAGGGGAUAAAGUGAUAUUAUUCGAAAUGAGAUUAUUUAUUUAAUUUAGAGUCGCCACUUGAAAUAAUUAUGAUGGUGUCCCAAGUCACCAGAUUAUUUUAAAUCCCAAAUCGAGGAAAUUUGACUCUAUUUUAAAGUCCGCAAAACCAGAAGACCGGUUAAGGAACUCUGUUAACCCGAUAGAAGGUGUUAGGAAUUUCCGGAUUCCGUGGUUUUAGCACGCUCAACUAUCAAUAAUUGGCCUAAUUAUUUGAUCUAAUACAUACUUUAAAACCUAUUGUGCAUUUAAUGCUUCUAUACUGCUUUUAAUUAUUCAAUCAGUUUUUAAGAUUUAUGGAGUUUAUUUAAAUAAGUCGCGAUGUCGCGCACUUAUUGUUUUUGUACAUAUUGCGAAUCGCGUCACGUGAAAUGCACCCGCGAUUUACAACAUGUUUAUUAUUAUUAUUAUUAUUUGAAGUUGUGGCCGAGUCACGUGAAACACACACUCGAAUUGUGAUUUACGUAUCAUGACUAUGUUACGGGAACGGUACCCAUAGUCACUAUGAUUUAUUUAUUAAUCGCGCCUAAAGUAAACUAUGAUAUUAGAGAGUUCUUCAUUUCUUAAGCUUGUUCAAGAUUAUUUGUGACAGAAAAUAGGCCCUACUGCCUGUUUGGGGCCGAAGACUUUUAAACUCAAGUCUAUCAUUUUAAUAUAGGAGUCAAAGAAUCAGUUAAUAACUAAGAUGCUAAUCAUAGAAAAAAAAUCAGUUAAUAGCAAAUUUGGCAAGCCGUACACAUAAUCUAAUGAAAAUGGGAUAUCUUUCUGAAUAGCUUGCAAAAUCAACACUCAAAAUGAUUAUUUUUGCACUUAUAUCCUGUUACAAAUAUGGUCAUAUCUUGACAUUAUCGGUGUAACUAUUUUACAGUAAUAACCAAAUCCUAACUUUCAAAUUCUCCUCACUUUUGCUUAUGCUACUUUUGUAAAUCCUUUAAUAUGAACUCCCCUUUUAACACCAAUCAUUUGAUUUUAACAGACCCAGUGUAAAUCAAAGUGACAUCAGACUAAAUCAAUAUUUAAUGACAAAUGAAUUCAAUCACAACAAAUCACAUUUUUUGAUAAAUUAGCUAGCAUUUUAUUCACACUGAAACUAACUCAAGGCAGCCAAAUCCAAAUAGCAUUAAAAGAUAAAGUGAAGUAGUCAUGAUUUUAUAUUAAAACAAAUCUGAAAAAAUACAAAUAGAAGAGAACAUACAUACUUGGGCUAGAAUUGACCUUCGAGGAAGGCAAAAACAAAUAAAGGCCAAAUUGGCAAUUCGGCAAUCAAGAGCAGCUCAGCAAAGUGACGUCCACAACAUCAAGGGAGAUUAAAAUCAGACUCAUGCGAAAUGACCAGCUCAAAAGCAAGUACAUAAUUAAACUUUUACAAAAAUUAAGGUUCAAAACGAUUUAUAAGAAAAUAACUGAGUUUUUUAGUGGAAGUUUGUGGUAGUUGACGACAGCGUAACGACGGAAGAUACUGCCGGAAACACCAAAGAGUAGAAGAGGUUUUUAUUUUUAUUUUUUUAUUUUUACUCUAUGGGAAUGGGGAUAGGGGUGACGGCUAGGGUUCCGAAAAAUUUGGGGAGAUUUUUCGUCUCAGUGAGGAGGGAGGGGCGGCCGGCUAGGGUUUCUAGGAGAUGGGGAGGGUCUGCAUAUGGAGAGGAAGGGGGUAGAGGGGCGGCUAGGGUUAGUCCUAAAGGGGGGAGGGACCGGUCCA